GUUUUUUUUUUCGUGUCCGUCAUCGUCAUUGCGUCAUUUGAAAUUUAAAUUUUCUUAAGUGUUAAAUUUUAAUUUGUCAAUUGUCACUUAUGAAUUUGUCAACUGUCAUCAAUACGUUUUUGCUGUCAUUUGUAUACAUGUUAAAAGCUUGACUACCCACUAUGGAUUUAUUCACAGAAAAUAUGAUGAAAUAGCUUUACUUGAUCUUACUGAAACUAUGGUUGAACAGUUAUUCCCAAAAAUGGGUCAGCGCUCUAAGUUUUUAAAACAUUUGAAAAAAUUAAAACAGAAAGAAAUUUACCAGAGGAAAAUUCAUCAGUUAUGACUCAACAUUCAGUAAUUGAUUGGGAUAACUUAGAUGUUGUAUUAUCAGAUGAAUUAGAACAUAAUAAGUAUAAAGUAUAUCAUUUGUAUUACCUAAUUGUAAUUAAAUAACAAUAAAAUAUAUUCUUACAUUUA